AUGAUCUGUGUCAGCCCUCAGCAGCAAUGCUCUGAGGGAAGCACUGCAUGUCACGAGCUGUGCCAGUCCUCAGCAGCAACGCUCCGAGGGAAACACUGCAUGUCACGAGCUGUGAGGCGGCAGCUGGGAGCUCCUCUCAGGGGAGCAGCGGUGUGCAGCAAGGGCCACAGGAUCCCUGCAGGGAGCCCCCCGAGCAGCCAGCGAUCUGGGUCAAGACACAGCAGGGACCCAGCCAAAAAUAAAGGAGCGCCUGGGGGCGGAGAAGGUACCGCGGGUGCAUGCGAUGAGUUGUGCCAGCCCUCAGCACGGGGCGCUGCUCCGGCGCAUCAGCCGGGCCGCCCGCCCCCCGGGGAGCGAAAAAAGUCCCCAAGGGGAGAGGGACCGAACGGGAGAGCGAGAGAGAGCGCAGCCAGUGCCCCGCGGCUAUUGGCUGCCCCCGCCGUCCAUCCCACCUCCACCACCAAUAGCAAAGCAAGGCCCCUGCCGGUAAAAAGGGGAGGGAACCGCUCAGCCCCGCCUGGACCAAUAGCGCGGGAGAAGAUCUUGGGCUUGCAGAACAGGAACUCAGCGCACUUGUCAAGACACAGGAAAAUGCAGAGAGAAGCGAGCCUCCAGCGCCUAAACACCAAGCCACAUUUUACCAGGGCAUAAGCAGCUUUGGGCAUGGGCAGCUCUAUACCAGUGCAGCUCUCCAAGAUGCGUGAGGCCGCUGCACAGAACUCUUCACUGACCUCUGUGAAAGAUUAUACAGUGGACAUGGCAGCCAAGUCGUAUGCCAGGGUCAAAAAGACAGUAUUUCAACUGCUCUUUGACUGAUGUGGCUGCAACUUCUCACUUCCACUCUUCAGGGAAAAUACAGUUUGCCCCAUGCUUACAGGAGGAAGAAGAAAGAGUGGUCCCUUAGGCUCAUGAAACCACGGUUCUCCAAGACGUAUCAGCAGGACCCCACAGUGUGCCUGCCAUCCCAGCUUUCUGGAGUACUUUUUGGAGUAGCAAAGACGUUGAAUUUCAAGGGAACUGAGGGGAUGUCACAACUGCCCUGUGCUUGAUGUCCUUACCUAAGAGCGCAGUGAGGCACAGGGUGCAUACAUGGCCCAGAGAGAUAUGAGUCAAGAGAAACUGCAUUUCAUCAGCGUGGGACAUCUGUGCAGCUACAGCAGGAUAACAUCAGCCCCGGCAUAUCAAAAAGCUGCAGUCACUGUAGGGCUAGUGACUAUCCUGAGUAGCGCAAAGCAUAAAUUGCAACCAAGAGACAGCCAGGAAAUACAACAUCACCUUGUCCAGUUCACAGUGCAGACCAGAGCUCAGAAAAUUCUGUUAAUGGUGCAAUUUUCCCUUAUUUGAGGUCUGUACAGUAGAACCGGAAAUUACAGGCAAAGGAAAAAAACUACAGAGACGAGUACUGGAAACACACGUCCUGCCUAAACCAAACCAAAAUGACUCAGCAGCUUCUGAGGCUGCUACCGAAGGGGCAAAGAGCUGAGAAAUACUGCGUGUAUAACUGAGCUCGUACACCUUCUCAAUAAAUACUUUCAUAUAGCCA
rnacentral:lncRNA from 1 species